rnacentral:lncRNA from 1 species
UGCGCGGCGAUUUGUUGUAAGAACUGCCGGGGAUGAAACAAUAAAGACCGGAAGCUGAGUUUUUAUCCAUUUCCUCUACAUGACAAAGAAAGACUGGAAAAGUGGUUAAACAAUAUGAAGCGAGAUUCAUGGGUUCCCAGUAAAUACCAGUUUCUGUGUAGUGACCAUUUUACUCCUGACUCUCUUGACAUCAGAUGGGGUAUUCGAUAUUUAAAACAAAGUGCAGUUCCAACAAUAUUUUCUUUGCCUGAAGACAAUCAGG